rnacentral:rRNA from 1 species
UAAAAGUUCGAAAAGAGAGAUUCAACGUCAGCAUGUGUAGUAUUGACGUGAGUAGUGAUGUCAGUUUUAUUGGUUGGGUCAAACCAAACAAUCAAGAUUGGCACAUUUUCAUGUUAUUUUUAUUGCUAUACAACUGUCGGCGUGCACUUCUCUCUUAGUAGGACGUCCCGACCCGUUGAGUCUUAGCCUACGGCCCAAAAGGAUGCCUUUAAUAUUUUUAUAUUAAAAUCCUUUGGUGUCUCCUGGCCUAAGUGCUCGACGGUAAAAUGAUUUGGUAUUAAGCCGCAAUUUAUUGUGCGUCCGGCCUGCCGCAAGUUUAUUGACAAUUUCUGCACACAUAGACUAUGUCCUAAGUGUAUGGUAUUGUUGGCUGUUUGCAUGACAAUACUCUUGGACUGGCUUAAUAUAUACCUGUCAGGGACGCUUAGGCUUUGG